rnacentral:rRNA from 1 species
UACGUAGGGCGCAAGCGUUGUCCGGAAUUAUUGGGCGUAAAGAGCUCGUAGGCGGUUUGUUGCGUCGGCUGUGAAAUCCCGAGGCUCAACCUCGGGUCUGCAGUCGAUACGAGCAAACUAGAGUGUUGCAGGGGAGACUGGGAAUUCCUGGUGUAGCGGUGAAAUGCGCAGAUAUCAGGAGGAACACCCGUGGCUAAGGCGGCUCUCUAGUACGGUACUGACGCUGAGACGCGAAAGCGUGGGGAGCGAACAGG